CGCCGGCCGGGCAGGUGCUGCUGCAGCGCCGCCGCCGCCACCGCUCCCCCCGCCCCCGGCCGAGGAGGGGCCUGGAGAGACGCCCCGCCCCCUUCCAGCUCCAGCCGCGUCUACUCGAGACAGCAAGAAUGCUACCAGCCCAGAGAUGGAAGGAAGAAGUACCAACAAAGAGAAUGGCAGACGAAACUCAUGGAGUAUGCGGAGAUGGUGAAACAGACAGGGAAGAUCUGAAACCAGGAAGAUCAAUUCAGAAAUAUGACGGCGGGAUCACUCCAUCAGCUCUCUUAUCGGUCAUCAGACUUCAUUUGAGCGCCUGAAGAACAGGAGGCUUCAAAGGCGGACCUUCAGCUGCUGUUGACCCUGCAUUGUGUGCCCUGCAGAAUCCCAUUCAAAGCUCCUGUCAGUUGACCCUGCCCAGGGCUGAACUCAGAACGGGUUGCUCUCCCUGCUUUGAAAGGAAGCCAUGGUGCCCAAA